AUCUACGGCCGUACCACCCUGAACGCGCCCUAUCUCAUCUGAUCUCAGAAGCUGAGCAGAGUUGGUCCUGGUGAGUACUUGGAUGGAGAUAGCAUGUGAGUUCCAAAGGUAAUGAUAGCCU
rnacentral:rRNA from 1 species